rnacentral:rRNA from 1 species
UACAGGGGGGGCAAGCGUUGUUCGGAAUUACUGGGCGUAAAGGGUUCGUAGGUGGCCACCUAAGUCAGACGUGAAAUCCCUCAGCUUAACUGGGGAACUGCGUCUGAUACUGGGUGGCUUGAGUGCAGGAGAGGAAUGCGGAAUUCCAGGUGUAGCGGUGAAAUGCGUAGAUAUCUGGAGGAACACCGGUGGCGAAGGCGGCGUUCUGGACUGCAACUGACACUGUAAAACGAAAGCCAGGGGAGCAAACGGG